rnacentral:rRNA from 1 species
GGUAACAGGGAGGAAGCUUGCUUUCUUUGCUGACGAGUGGCGGACGGGUGAGUAAUGCUUGGGAAUCUGGCUUAUGGAGGGGGAUAACGACGGGAAACUGUCGCUAAUACCGCGUAGAAUCUUAGGAUUAAAGAAUGGGACCUUCGGGCCAUUCGCCAUAAGAUGAGCCCAAGUGGGAUUAGGUAGUUGGUUAGGUAAAGGCUGACCAAGCCUGCGAUCUCUAGCUGGUCUGAGAGGAUGACCAGCCACACUGGAACUGAGACACGGUCCAGACUCCUACGGGAGGCAGCAGUGGGGAAUAUUGCACAAUGGGGGGAACCCUGAUGCAGCCAUGCCGCGUGAAUGAAGAAGGCCUUCGGGUUGUAAAGUUCUUUCGGUGAUGAGGAAGGUGUUUGUUUUAAUAGGGCAAGCAAUUGACGUUAAUCACAGAAGAAGCACCGGCUAACUCCGUGCCAGCAGCCGCGGUAAUACGGAGGGUGCGAGCGUUAAUCGGAAUAACUGGGCGUAAAGGGCACGCAGGCGGACUUUUAAGUGAGAUGUGAAAUCCCAGAGCUUAACUUUGGAAUUGCAUUUCAGACUGGGGGUCUAGAGUACUUUAGGGAGGGGUAGAAUUCCACGUGUAGCGGUGAAAUGCGUAGAGAUGUGGAGGAAUACCGAAGGCGAAGGCAGCCCCCUUGGGAAUGUACUGACGCUCAUGUGCGAAAGCGUGGGGGAGCAAACAGGAUUAGAUACCCUGGUAGUCCACGCUGUAAACGCUGUCGAUUUGGGGAUUGGGCUUUAUGCUUGGUGCCCGUAGCUAACGUGAUAAAUCGACCGCCUGGGGAGUACGGCCGCAAGGUUAAAACUCAAAUGAAUUGACGGGGGCCCGCACAAGCGGUGGAGCAUGUGGUUUAAUUCGAUGCAACGCGAAGAACCUUACCUACUCUUGACAUCCUAAGAAGAGACUAGAGAUAGUCUUGUGCCUUCGGGAACUUAGAGACAGGUGCUGCAUGGCUGUCGUCAGCUCGUGUUGUGAAAUGUUGGGUUAAGUCCCGCAACGAGCGCAACCCUUAUCCUUUGUUGCCAGCAUGUAAAGAUGGGAACUCAAAGGAGACUGCCAGUGAUAAACUGGAGGAAGGUGGGGAUGACGUCAAGUCAUCAUGGCCCUUACGAGUAGGGCUACACACGUGCUACAAUGGUGCAUACAGAGGGAAGCAAACCUGCGAGGGUAAGCAAAUCUCACAAAGUGCAUCUAAGUCCGGAUUGGAGUCUGCAACUCGACUCCAUGAAGUCGGAAUCGC